UGGAGCUUAAAGAUUGAGUGAAUACCGUC
rnacentral:piRNA from 1 species